ACAAAGGAAAUGGAGCAGAUCGUGCAGCGGAAUGGUCGCUCACCCGUGUGGAUGCGUAGGUGUUCCUUGAGGUAGGUUUGUCUUGUAAAGGUCUGAGGGCACAAAUGGCAUUGAAAUGGCCGCUCAGCUGUGUGGCUGCGCACAUGUACCUUGAGCUUGCUGUCAUGUGUAAAAGUCUUAUGGCAAAAAUUGCACUGAAAGGGACGGUCGCCUGUGUGGAUGCGUAGGUGUUCCUUGAAGGUGUCCUUGCGCGGGAACCUCUGAGGGCAAGAAGGGCACUGAAAUGGCUUUUCGCCUGUGUGGAUACGUUGGUGUUCCUUGAGUCUGUUCGCUUGCGAGUAGCUCCGAGGGCAG